rnacentral:misc_RNA from 1 species
AAGUCGUAACAAGGUAACCGUAGGUGAACCUGCGGUUGGAUCAUUAAACAAACCAAGGUGGAGAGGGAGUCGGUCCACGCCAGGGACAGCAUUCCAACAAUGCAGUCGUCCUCGGUCAGUGAACGGUCUUCCUCUCGUUUCGCCACACAUUUUGUGAACCCUCAAACCCGUCCGGCGGGGGAGGAAGUGGGAGGCUCCCGGGUCUCCCAGUUCCUCCGUCAGCGAAGGACAGCAAUGUUCUGCGCCGUGGACAACCCGUCCACCCAACCCUUCCAGCCUUUGUGUUGAAGGGGUUGUUUUGCCCAACCUUUUGGAUCUUUACGAAUUGUGAAUUGUCUCUGAGAAUGCGAUGGUGCAAUUGCACCGUCUUUUGGAAACAAACAUUCAAAAACAACUUUUGGCAACGGAUCUCUUGGCUCUC